GACGAACGCUGGCGGCGUGCCUAAUACAUGCAAGUCGAACGAGAGCGACCGGUGCUUGCACUGGUCAAUCUAGUGGCGAACGGGUGAGUAACGCGUGGGUAACCUGCCCAUCAGAGGGGGAUAACAUCCGGAAACGGAUGCUAAAACCGCAUAGGUCUUCGAGCCGCAUGGCUUGAAGAGGAAAAGAGGCGCAAGCUUCUGCUGAUGGAUGGACCCGCGAUGCAUUAGCUAGUUGGUGAGGUAACGGCUCACCAAGGCCGUGAUGCAUAGCCGACCUGAGAGGGUGAUCGGCCACAUUGGGACUGAGACACGGCCCAAACUCCUACGGGAGGCAGCAGUAGGGAAUCUUCCGCAAUGGACGCAAGUCUGACGGAGCAACGCCGCGUGAGUGAAGAAGGUUUUCGGAUCGUAAAACUCUGUUGUUAGAGAAGAACAAGUGCUAGAGUAACUGUUAGCGCCUUGACGGUAUCUAACCAGAAAGCCAUGGCUAACUACGUG
rnacentral:rRNA from 1 species